AUUGAACGCUGGCGGCAGGCCUAACACAUGCAAGUCGAGCGGAUGAAGGGAGCUUGCUCCUGGAUUCAGCGGCGCACGGGUGAGUAAUGCCUAGGAAUCUGCCUGGUAGUGGGGGAUAACGUCCGGAAACGGGCGCUAAUACCGCAUACGUCCUGAGGGAGAAAGUGGGGGAUCUUCGGACCUCACGCUAUCAGAUGAGCCUAGGUCGGAUUAGCUAGUUGGUGGGGUAAAGGCCUACCAAGGCGACGAUCCGUAACUGGUCUGAGAGGAUGAUCAGUCACACUGGAACUGAGACACGGUCCAGACUCCUACGGGAGGCAGCAGUGGGGAAUAUUGGACAAUGGGCGAAAGCCUGAUCCAGCCAUGCCGCGUGUGUGAAGAAGGUCUUCGGAUUGUAAAGCACUUUAAGUUGGGAGGAAGGGCAGUAAGUUAAUACCUUGCUGUUUUGACGUUACCAACAGAAUAAGCACCGGCUAACUUCGUG
rnacentral:rRNA from 1 species